CGAGAAAGUAAUAAUAGAAACUGCUAAUUACUAUUUACUGAGAUUAACUUCACAGCUUUCUCA
rnacentral:tRNA from 1 species